rnacentral:rRNA from 1 species
GCGCAGCAGUCGAGAAUACUUUACAAUGUGCGAAAGCACGAUAAGGGAACUCUGAGUGCCUCCUAAGGAGGCUGUUCAGGUGUCUAAAAGCACCUGAAGGAAGGGCUGGGUAAGACCGGUGCCAGCCGCCGCGGUAACACCGGCAGCCCAAGUGGUAGCCACGUUUAUUGGGUCUAAAGCGUCCGUAGCCGGCUGGGUAAGUUCCUUGGGAAAUUUGGCUGCUUAACAGUCAAGCUUUCAGGGAAUACUGCCCGGCUUGGGACCGGGAGAGGUCAGAGGUACUCCAGGGGUAGGGGUGAAAUCCAUUAAUCCUUGGGGGACCACCGGUAGCGAAGGCGUCUGACCAGACCGGGUCCGACGGUGAGGGACGAAGGCUAGGGGCGCGAACCGGAUUAGAUACCCCUGUAGU